UACGGAAGGGGCAAGCGUUGUUCGGAAUCAUUGGGCGUAAAGGGCGCGUAGGUGGUUCUGUAUGUCUACCGUGAAAGCGUACGGCUCAACCGUAUUUUGUCGGUGGAAACUGCAGGACUUGAGGCUGGGAGGGGCUGGUGGAAUUCCCUGUGUAGCGGUGAAAUGCGUAGAGAUGGGGGGAGAACACUCGUGGCGAAGGCGGCCAGCUAGACCAGUUCUGACACUGAGGCGCGACAGCGUGGGGGAGCAAACAGG
rnacentral:rRNA from 1 species